rnacentral:rRNA from 1 species
GACGUAGGAUGCAAGCGUUGUCCGGAAUUAUUGGGCGUAAAGAGUUCGUAGGCGGUUGCCUAAGUCUGAUGUUAAAUACUGGAGCUCAACUCCGGCAUGGCAUUGGAAACUGGGCAGCUAGAGUGUGGUAGAGGUCUCGGGAAUUCCAGGUGUAGCGAUGAAAUGCGUAGAUAUCUGGAGGAACACCGGUGGCGAAAGCGCGAGACUGGGCCAUAACUGACGCUGAGGAACGAAAGCCAGGGGAGCGAAAGGG